GUCGAUUUUGAAGGUGAUGGUUUUGUGCCCAAGUUUUAUAUGGGAAACUGGUCAUUUUCUUCCCUCACAGUGGAGGAUACAAAGAGGCUGAGGCUGGCGUCACCUUCUGUUGCUAAGGGGAAUCGGAACUCCCGGGACCAACUGAGGAUCAGUGCAGAACCGCUGACACUUAACGAUGCCAUUCAUCAGACAGAUCUUUUGAAAACGGAUAGCAUAUGAAUUUAACAGCCUAAUUUCCGGUUAAUAUACAACAAGAAAAGACUGGCAUACAAGUAACUAUUUUGUCUUGAAACUCUGCUUUUGGGACAACAAGGAUGGAUUACCCCAAAAUGGAUUAUUUUCUGGAUGUCGAGUCUGCCCAUAGACUCUUGGAUGUUGAGUCAGCUCAGAGAUUCUUCUACAGUCAAGGAGCUCAAGGUAAUAAAAUGGGAGCAGG
rnacentral:lncRNA from 1 species